CCUACGGGUGGCAGCAGUGGGGAAUAUUGCACAAUGGGGGAAACCCUGAUGCAGCGAAGCCGCGUGAGUGAAGAAGCGUUUCGGCGCGUAAAGCUCUGUCAGCGGGGAAGAAACACGGUUCGCGAGAGCCGCGGACGGUACCCGACCCAGAAGCCCCGGCUAACUACGUGCCAGCAGCCGCGGUACUACGUAGGGGGCACGCGUUAUCCGGAACCACUGGGUGUAAAGGGAGCGUAGCUGGCGAGACAAGUCUGGAGUGAACGGCCGGGGCCCAACCCCGGGACUGCUCUAGAAACUGCCUGGCUAGAGUACAGGAGAGGUAAGUGGAAGUCCUAGUGUAGCGGUGAAAUGCGUAGAUAUUAGGAGGAACACCAGUGGCGAAGGCGGCUUACUGGACUGUAACUGACGUUGAGGCUCGAAAGCGUGGGGAGCAAACAGGAUUAGAUACCCGAGUAGUC
rnacentral:rRNA from 1 species